AACCAGUUUCUAGAAGCACAUUCUGCUUCUCACAUUAAAAAAAAAAAAAAAAAAAAAAAAAAAAAAGCCGGGCUUAAAAUAUAUACCAAACCCCCUACCUUGGAGCAUUUAUACCAUAAAGUAGAUGAGACCAGAAUCCAUGCCUGAUAAGGUCAAUCUAAAAUAAGAAUGAGCUGAUAUUUGCCUUUAAAAAAUUCUAGACUUGAAACCCAAAGGACUUAACAGCAGUUCUGUUCCAUCAACCUCCUAGGUCUCAAAGAGAUACAUUAGAAAUUCUACGAAUAUUUAAUUCAAAGAUCAUUUUAAAAAUAUUUUUUAGGCCAGGCGUGACGGCUCAUGCCUAUUCCCAGCACUUUGGGAGGCCGAGGCGGGCGAAUCUCUUGAGCCCAGAAGUUUGAGACCAGCCUGGGCAAAAUGGUGAAACCCCAUCUCUAUGAAAAAAUACAAAAAUUAGCUGGGAGUGGAGGCACGCACCAGUACUCCCAGCUCCUGGGGAGGCUGAGGUGAGAGGAUCACUUGAGCCUGGGAGACAGAGGCUACAGUGAGUCAUGACUGCACCACUGCACUCCAGCCUGGGUAAUAGAGCAAGACCCUGACUCAAAAACAAAACACUCUCUCUAUAUAUAUAUAAAACUAUAAUAAACCAACAUAUACAUUCAUUCAACACCUAAUUUUUCUACCUUGGAAAUUACCAAUUUGUUAAUUUGCAUUUUCACCACCUCAUAUAUUAUUAAGUAAAUGCCAUAAAUUUAACCUUAAAUAAAUUUAAUAACAUACAAUUUACUUCACACACUGGGGUUCCACAAAGAUUUCUUACUACAAACAGCGUUCUGCUUCUCAACAACCUAUAUAAUUUGAUAACCACAGAUGUAGCAUAAAGUCAUUCAUUUUUAAACUCUAAAUUCAGUUGCUUAUUGGGGUUUUCACCUUGGAUCUGGUACAAAUUCUAACUAGAGUAAGAGUUCCUGGAUGUGUCAAAAAUCGUCACCUUCCCAACUCUUACAUAGAUUUGCGCUGCUGCACCAGCGACCCAAACCAGCCCGUGAGUGCAUAGCUACUGCCAGCACUUGAGAAAG
rnacentral:lncRNA from 10 species